AUGGCCGGUGCAUCGUUAUGAAUGCAGAAUUACGUAAAAUGCUUGGCUACCAUGCAUGCAUUGAAUGCUCGUUUAACGAUCCCAAAUUGUGGACACCUAAUCGAAGACGACUGAAGAAGACUGCUGUGCCUUCGCGGAGCUUGCCCAUAAGAGCACAUGAAAAAGAAGACUUGGCAAGGAUUCAGGAAGCAGCAGCGCGAGAUGCCCGUGCCUCUGCUAGACAUGAGCAUGGAUCAGCUUCUCAAGGAACAUGUUCGGAGCCUGCUCAACCUGUGCAUGUGUCACCUUGUGAAGAGAACCCCGAUGAAGCCCUUUGUGAUGUAAAGGCUCAAUCAUAUGCUGUA